rnacentral:RNase_P_RNA from 1 species
CUCCCCAGGGCAACGGUGCUGGCGAGAGCCAGGACGGGGCGACCUGUCGGUACAGGGCAACAGAGAGCAGACCGCCGAUGGCCUCCGGGCACAGGCAAGGCUGAAACGGUGCGGUAAGAGCGCACCAGCGUCACGGGCGACCGUGGCGGCUAGGCAACCCCCACCGGGAGCAAGGCCGAACAGGGACAGGGCGGCCCGCCCGCUACGUCCCAGGUGGGCCGCACAGAUGGAUGGUCACCCAUCGGGACCCCCGCGAGGGACCCGAGGACAGGAUCCCGCCUACAGGGCAGCUCACCAC